rnacentral:rRNA from 1 species
AACGUAGGACGCGAGCGUUAUCCGGAUUUACUGGGCGUAAAGCGUGUGCAGGCGGUGGGGUAAGUCGGACGUGAAAGCUCCCGGCUCAACUGGGAGAGGCCGUUCGAAACUACUCGACUUGAGGGCAGGAGAGGAGCGUGGAAUUCCGGGUGUAGUGGUGAAAUGCGUAGAUAUCCGGAGGAACACCAGUGGCGAAGGCGGCGCUCUGGACUGCACCUGACGCUAAGACACGAAAGCUAGGGGAGCGAACGGGAUUAGAUACCCCAGUA